GUUAGAUAUAUUUUAUUUUAAUUAUAAAAAUUUAGUUUACAUGAAUAUUAAUAAAAAUAAUUUUUAUUUUAGUAAUUUUUAGUGAAUACAUGAAUUAUAUUUAUAGUUUAAAGUACUGUAAAGGAAUCUUAUAUUUAUUUUUAGAAGGAGAUUUAAUAAUUGUACCUUUUGUAUCAGGGUUUACUUAAUUAAAACUAUUAUUAUUUGUUAAUCCCGAAAUUAUAAGAGAUAAAUAUUAGAUUAAUUUAAUGUUAUAUAUUUAUUUUAUACUAGUAUUUAGGGGUUAUAUGCCAUUCAUUUAUAAAUAUCUGGUUCUUUAAGAAUUGAAUUUAAUUCAUCUAUAACACAUUUAUAAUAAUUAUUUUAUUUUUUAUAACUUUUAUAGUAAUAUUUGGGGGGAUAAGCUCUCAUAUAUUUUUAUAAAUAUUUAGGAUAUUAAAUUAGGUAGGAUUGAUAAUUUCUUUCAUUUAUUUUGUUAAAAUUAUAUUUUUCUUAAAUUAAUAUUUAAUGUUAUUUUAAUUUUAUAUUAAGGUAUAUUUAUUUAAUUUAUAAUUAAUAAAAAUAAUGGUAAAAUUAGUAUAAAUAAUUAUUUUAUAAAUAGUAACUCGGCAAAUAUAAUAUUCACCUGUUUAACAAAAACAUGUCCUAAUGGAAUAUAUAUUAGGUCGGGCCUGCUCAGUGAUUUAUUUAAACAGCUGCAGUAAUUUGACUGUGCAAAGGUAGCAUAAUCAUUUGUCUUUUAAUUGAAGGCUGGUAUGAAUGGUUUAAUGAAAUAUUAACUUUCUUUUUAUAUUAUUUUUGAACUUUAUUUUUGUGUGAAAAAGCAUAAAUGUUUUUGUAGGACGAGAAGACCCUAUAGAAUUUUAAUUAGGCAUAAAUUAUUUAUAUCUUUGAUUAUUAUGAAUUAAUAAGAUGUGUUAUAUUUUUGUUGGGGUGACAGAAAAAUGUUAAUAACUUUUUUUAUAAAGUUUUUACUAAUAUGUAUAUAAAUGAUCCUAUUUUUAGAUUAUAAGAUUAAAUUACCUUAGGGAUAACAGCGUAAUUUUAUUGGAGAGUUCUUAUCGAUAAUAUAGUUUGCGACCUCGAUGUUGGAUUAAAAUUAGAAUUUGGUGUAGAAGCUAUUUUUCUAGGUCUGUUCGACCUUUAAAAUUUUACAUGAUCUGAGUUCAGACCGGCGUGAGCCAGGUUGGUUUCUAUCCUCAAUUAUUAUUAUUAUUUUAGUACGAAAGGACCAAAUAUUAUAAAUAUUUUAUA
rnacentral:rRNA from 1 species